UACGUAGGGUCCGAGCGUUGUCCGGAAUUACUGGGCGUAAAGAGCUCGUAGGUGGUUUGUCGCGUUGUUCGUGAAAUCUCACGGCUUAACUGUGAGCGUGCGGGCGAUACGGGCAGACUAGAGUACUGCAGGGGAGACUGGAAUUCCUGGUGUAGCGGUGGAAUGCGCAGAUAUCAGGAGGAACACCGGUGGCGAAGGCGGGUCUCUGGGCAGUAACUGACACUGAGGAGCGAAAGCGUGGGGAGCGAACAGG
rnacentral:rRNA from 1 species